ACUUCUCAUCGAGUGGUAUAGUCGGUGCUUCAAUCACCUGAGAUGAGUCUGAUAUACAUUUUCUUAGCAUUGAGACGUGAAACACUGGAUGAAUACCCAGGAGGAAGUGCCAAACGAUAAGCCUCCGCUCCCACUCGGUCUAGUAUCUCAUACAUCCCUAUAAACCGGGGCUCAACUUGCCUCCUUUCCCAAAUCGCAUUACACCUUUCAUGGGGGAGACUCGUAGAAACACUGCGUCUCCAAUUGAGAACACUAAAUCUCUUCUUCUCUUAUCAGCAUAAAACUUUUGUCUGCUUUGAUAGAUAUACGUCUUUUGCUUAAUGCCUAAAUAAUCUCAUUUAUAAGAAUCCCUAUUCGGUGAAAUUUUUACCUUUGCAGAGUAGAUAAUGAUGGGACAAAAAAUGAAGCAAUAUCACUGCAUCGUGUGAAUAAGCUACUAAGAACUCAUGGUAGGAAUAAACAA
rnacentral:lncRNA from 1 species